AGUAGGUCAUCAGGAAGCAGGAGCUCUGUGUUGGAGAGGAAGUGAACGUGUUUGAGUAGGUCAUCAGGAAGCAGGAGCUCUGUGUUUGAGAGGAAGUGAACGUGUUUGAGUAGGUCAUCAGGAAGCAGGAGCUCUGUGUUGGAGAGGAAGUGAACGUGUUUGAGUAGGUCAUCAGGAAGCAGGAGCUCUGUGUUGGAGAGGAAGUGAACGUGUUUGAGUAGGUCAUCAGGAAGCAGGAGCUCUGUGUUGGAGAGGAAGUGAACGUGUUUGAGUAGGUCAUCAGGAAGCAGGAGCUUUGUGUUGGAGAGGAAGUGAACGUGUUUGAGUAGGUCAUCAGGAAGCAGGAGCUCUGUGUUGGAGAGGAAGUGAACGUGUUUGAGUAGGUCAUCAGGAAGCAGGAGCUUUGUGUUGGAGAGGAAGUGAACGUGUUUGAGUAGGUCAUCAGGAAGCAGGAGCUCUGUGUUGGAGAGGAAGUGAACGUGUUUGAGUAGGUCAUCAGGAAGCAGGAGCUCUGUGUUUGAGAGGAAGUGAACGUGUUUGAGUAGGUCAUCAGGAAGCAGGAGCUCUGUGUUGGAGAGGAAGUGAACGUGUUUGAGUAGGUCAUCAGGAAGCAGGAGCUCUGUGUUGGAGAGGAAGUGAACGUGUUUGAGUAGGUCAUCAGGAAGCAGGAGCUCUGUGUUUGAGAGGAAGUGAACGUGUUUGAGUAGGUCAUCAGGAAGCAGGAGCUCUGUGUUGGAGAGGAAGUGAACGUGUUUGAGUAGGUCAUCAGGAAGCAGGAGCUCUGUGUUUGAGAGGAAGUGAACGUGUUUGAGUAGGUCAUCAGGAAGCAGGAGCUCUGUGUUGGAGAGGAAGUGAACGUGUUUGAGUAGGUCAUCAGGAAGCAGGAGCUCUGUGUUGGAGAGGAAGUGAACGUGUUUGAGUAGGUCAUCAGGAAGCAGGAGCUCUGUGUUUGAGAGGAAGUGAACGUGUUUGAGUAGGUCAUCAGGAAGCAGGAGCUCUGUGUUGGAGAGGAAGUGAACGUGUUUGAGUAGGUCAUCAGGAAGCAGGAGCUCUGUGUUGGAGAGGAAGUGAACGUGUUUGAGUAGGUCAUCAGGAAGCAGGAGCUCUGUGUUGGAGAGGAAGUGAACGUGUUUGAGUAGGUCAUCAGGAAGCAGGAGCUUUGUGUUGGAGAGGAAGUGAACGUGUUUGAGUAGGUCAUCAGGAAGCAGGAGCUCUGUGUUGGAGAGGAAGUGAACGUGUUUGAGUAGGUCAUCAGGAAGCAGGAGCUCUGUGUUGGAGAGGAAGUGAACGUGUUUGAAUAGUACAUCAGGAAGCAGGAGCUAUGGGGCUUGUUCUAUGUCCAGACCCUCUCUUCCUGUAAACAAGGGUCUUUAGGACAGGAAGAAGAGUUUCAAGUCAAGUAGUCUAGUCUCCACCAGACUAUAGCCAUCCUGUUAGUGAAAUGGAUGAGACUGAAAAGGGGGUGAGGUGUACAUCAGGCAGCAUGAACAGGGAAAAACAUUUUUCCAGAGUGAAGGGGGAUUCGGACGUUGACGAAGGUUCUCCAGUAGGUCAAGACUAUUUAACCAUGUUUCAAUAUGCUCGCUAGGGAACUACAUCUGUCUGUCUGGAAACCCUUGUCUCCUAGUUCAUAGUUCUUGGUUCCAUUAAAGCUGCAGUGUGUCGCCUCUUCAUGAGACAGACUGCCCUUCUCACAGCCUCCGAGUGAGUCCCAAAUGGGCCCCUAUUUCCAAUAGUGCAGUACUUUUCACCAUAUGGGAAUCAGGUGCCAUUUGGGAUGCAAACUCUUAACACGCUCACUCUGCAAGCCUAACUGCUAGUUAUAAAUCUAUUUAUCUCUGACACACUCACUCUGCAAGCCUAACUGCUAGUUGUAAAUAUAUUUAUCCUCUGACACACUCACUCUGCAAGCCUAGCUGCUAGUUGUAAAUAUAUUUAUCUCUGACACACUCACUCUGCAAGCCCAGCUGCUAGUUGUAAAUAUAUUUAUACUCUGCCACACUCACUCUGCAAGCCCAGCUGCUAGUUGUAAAUCUAUUUAUCCUCUGACACACUCACUCUGCAAGCCUAGCUGCUAGUUGUAAAUCUAUUUAUCCUCUGACACACUCACUCUGCAAGCCUAGCUGCUAGUUGUAAAUAUAUUUAUCUCUGACACACUCACUCUGCAAGCCUAGCUGCUAGUUGUAAAUAUAUUUAUCUCUGACACACUCACUCUGCAAGCCCAGCUGCUAGUUGUAAAUAUAUUUAUACUCUGACACACUCACUCUGCAAGCCCAGCUGCUAGUUGUAAAUCUAUUUAUCCUCUGACACACUCACUCUGCAAGCCUAGCUGCUAGUUGUAAAUAUAUUUAUCUCUGACACACUCACUCUGCAAGCCUAGCUGCUAGUUGUAAAUAUAUUUAUCUCUGACACACUCACUCUGCAAGCCUAGCUGCUAGUUGUAAAUAUAUUUAUCUCUGACACACUCACUCUGCAAGCCUAGCUGCUAGUUGUAAAUAUAUUUAUACUCUGCCACACUCACUCUGCAAGCCUAGCUGCUAGUUGUAAAUAUAUUUAUCCCUGACACACUCACUCUGCAAGCCUAGCUGCUAGUUGUAAAUAUAUUUAUCCUCUGACACACUCACUCUACAAGCCUAGCUGCUAGUUGUAAAUAUAUUUAUCCUCUGACACACUCACUCUACAAGCCUAGCUGCUAGUUGUAAAUAUAUUUAUCUCUGACACACUCACUCUGCAAGCCCAGCUGCUAGUUGUAAAUCUAUUUAUCCUCUGACACACUCACUCUACAAGCCUAGCUGCUAGUUGUAAAUAUAUUUAUCUCUGACACACUCACUCUGCAAGCCUAGCUGCUAGUUGUAAAUAUAUUUAUCUCUGACACACUCACUCUGCAAGCCUAGCUGCUAGUUGUAAAUAUAUUUAUCUCUGACACACUCACUCUGCAAGCCUAGCUGCUAGUUGUAAAUAUAUUUAUCUCUGACACACUCACUCUGCAAGCCCAGCUGCUAGUUGUAAAUAUAUUUAUCUCUGACACACUCACUCUGCAAGCCCAGCUGCUAGUUGUAAAUAUAUUUAUCUCUGACACACUCACUCUGCAAGCCCAGCUGCUAGUUGUAAAUAUAUUUAUCUCUGACACACUCACUCUGCAAGCCUAGCUGCUAGUUGUAAAUAUAUUUAUCCUCUGACACACUCACUCUGCAAGCCUAGCUGCUAGUUGUAAAUAUAUUUAUCCUCUGACACACUCACUCUGCAAGCCCAGCUGCUAGUUGUAAAUAUAUUUAUCCUCUGACACACUCACUCUACAAGCCCAGCUGCCAGUUGUAAAUAUAUUUAUC